UAGCAGCCGCCAAGGCAAGGAGAGCCUUU
rnacentral:piRNA from 1 species